UAGGGAAUCUUCCACAAUGGACGCAAGUCUGAUGGAGCAACGCCGCGUGAGUGAAGAAGGUCUUCGGAUCGUAAAACUCUGUUGUUAGAGAAGAACACGAGUGAGAGUAACUGUUCAUUUCGAUGACGGUAUCUAACCAGCAAGUCACGGCUAACUACGUACCAG
rnacentral:rRNA from 1 species